rnacentral:rRNA from 2 species
GGUUAAGCGACUAAGCGUACACGGUGGAUGCCCUGGCAGUCAGAGGCGAUGAAGGACGUGCUAAUCUGCGAAAAGCGUCGGUAAGGUGAUAUGAACCGUUAUAACCGGCGAUGUCCGAAUGGGGAAACCCAGUGCAAUUCGUUGCACUAUCGUUAACUGAAUACAUAGGUUAACGAGGCGAACCGGGGGAACUGAAACAUCUAAGUACCCCGAGGAAAAGAAAUCAACCGAGAUUCCCCCAGUAGCGGCGAGCGAACGGGGAGCAGCCCAGAGUCUGAAUCAGCUUGUGUGUUAGUGGAACGGUCUGGAAAGUCCGACGGUACAGGGUGAUAGUCCCGUACACCAAAAUGCACAGGCUGUGAACUCGAAGAGUAGGGCGGGACACGUGGUAUCCUGUCUGAAUAUGGGGGGACCAUCCUCCAAGGCUAAAUACUCCUGACUGACCGAUAGUGAACCAGUACCGUGAGGGAAAGGCGAAAAGAACCCCGGCGAGGGGAGUGAAAAAGAACCUGAAACCGUGUACGUACAAGCAGUGGGAGCACCUUCGGGUGUGACUGCGUACCUUUUGUAUAAUGGGUCAGCGACUUAUAUUCUGUAGCAAGGUUAACCGUAUAGGGGAGCCGCAGGGAAACCGAGUCUUAACUGGGCGUUAAGUUGCAGGGUAUAGACCCGAAACCCGGUGAUCUAGCCAUGGGCAGGUUGAAGGUUGGGUAACACUAACUGGAGGACCGAACCGACUAAUGUUGAAAAAUUAGCGGAUGACUUGUGGCUGGGGGUGAAAGGCCAAUCAAACCGGGAGAUAGCUGGUUCUCCCCGAAAGCUAUUUAGGUAGCGCCUCGUGAAUUCAUCUUCGGGGGUAGAGCACUGUUUCGGCUAGGGGGUCAUCCCGACUUACCAACCCGAUGCAAACUACGAAUACCGAAGAAUGUUAUCACGGGAGACACACGGCGGGUGCUAACGUCCGUCGUGAAGAGGGAAACAACCCAGACCGCCAGCUAAGGUCCCAAAGUCAUGGUUAAGUGGGAAACGAUGUGGGAAGGCACAGACAGCCAGGAUGUUGGCUUAGAAGCAGCCAUCAUUUAAAGAAAGCGUAAUAGCUCACUGGUCGAGUCGGCCUGCGCGGAAGAUGUAACGGGGCUAAACCAUGCACCGAAGCUGCGGCAGCGACACUAUGUGUUGUUGGGUAGGGGAGCGUUCUGUAAGCCUGCGAAGGUGACCUGUGAGGGUUGCUGGAGGUAUCAGAAGUGCGAAUGCUGACAUAAGUAACGAUAAAGCGGGUGAAAAGCCCGCUCGCCGGAAGACCAAGGGUUCCUGUCCAACGUUAAUCGGGGCAGGGUGAGUCGACCCCUAAGGCGAGGCCGAAAGGCGUAGUCGAUGGGAAACAGGUUAAUAUUCCUGUACUUGGUGUUACUGCGAAGGGGGGACGGAGAAGGCUAUGUUAGCCGGGCGACGGUUGUCCCGGUUUAAGCAUGUAGGCUGGUUGUCCAGGCAAAUCCGGAUAAUCAAGGCUGAGGUGUGAUGACGAGGCACUACGGUGCUGAAGUAACAAAUGCCCUGCUUCCAGGAAAAGCCUCUAAGCAUCAGGUAACAUCAAAUCGUACCCCAAACCGACACAGGUGGUCAGGUAGAGAAUACCAAGGCGCUUGAGAGAACUCGGGUGAAGGAACUAGGCAAAAUGGUGCCGUAACUUCGGGAGAAGGCACGCUGGUGUGUAGGUGAAGUCCCUGCGGAUGGAGCUGAGACCAGUCGAAGAUACCAGCUGGCUGCAACUGUUUAUUAAAAACACAGCACUGUGCAAACACGAAAGUGGACGUAUACGGUGUGACGCCUGCCCGGUGCCGGAAGGUUAAUUGAUGGGGUUAUCCGUAAGGAGAAGCUCUUGAUCGAAGCCCCGGUAAACGGCGGCCGUAACUAUAACGGUCCUAAGGUAGCGAAAUUCCUUGUCGGGUAAGUUCCGACCUGCACGAAUGGCGUAAUGAUGGCCAGGCUGUCUCCACCCGAGACUCAGUGAAAUUGAACUCGCUGUGAAGAUGCAGUGUACCCGCGGCAAGACGGAAAGACCCCGUGAACCUUUACUAUAGCUUGACACUGAACAUUGAGCCUUGAUGUGUAGGAUAGGUGGGAGGCUUUGAAGCGUGGACGCCAGUCUGCGUGGAGCCAACCUUGAAAUACCACCCUUUAAUGUUUGAUGUUCUAACGUUGGCCCCUUACCGGGGUUGCGGACAGUGUCUGGUGGGUAGUUUGACUGGGGCGGUCUCCUCCCAAAGCGUAACGGAGGAGCACGAAGGUUAGCUAAUCCUGGUCGGACAUCAGGAGGUUAGUGCAAUGGCAUAAGCUAGCUUGACUGCGAGCGUGACGGCGCGAGCAGGUGCGAAAGCAGGUCAUAGUGAUCCGGUGGUUCUGAAUGGAAGGGCCAUCGCUCAACGGAUAAAAGGUACUCCGGGGAUAACAGGCUGAUACCGCCCAAGAGUUCAUAUCGACGGCGGUGUUUGGCACCUCGAUGUCGGCUCAUCACAUCCUGGGGCUGAAGUAGGUCCCAAGGGUAUGGCUGUUCGCCAUUUAAAGUGGUACGCGAGCUGGGUUUAGAACGUCGUGAGACAGUUCGGUCCCUAUCUGCCGUGGGCGCUGGAGAAUUGAGGGGGGCUGCUCCUAGUACGAGAGGACCGGAGUGGACGCAUCACUGGUGUUCGGGUUGUCAUGCCAAUGGCACUGCCCGGUAGCUAAAUGCGGAAGAGAUAAGUGCUGAAAGCAUCUAAGCACGAAACUUGCCCCGAGAUGAGUUCUCCCUGAGACUUUAAGUCUCCUGAAGGAACGUUGAAGACGACGACGUUGAUAGGCCGGGUGUGUAAGCGCAGCGAUGCGUUGAGCUAACCGGUACUAAUGAACCGUGAGGCUUAACCUU